GCGGGGGUUGCCAAGCCUGGUCAACGGCGCAGGACUGAGGCUCCUGUCCCGUAGGGGUUCGUGGGUUCAAAUCCCACCCCCCGCACCA
rnacentral:tRNA from 1 species